GGUUUUCAAGGCACCUUUAUCUCCUGGAGUGCCGAUCCAGUGGGACCAGCAUGCCAAUGCGACGUGGGAGAAAGGAACAGCUCCUGGCAAUCUGGAAACGGAACAAACAGAGCAAGCUUGUUUUGUUCAGGGACAUUUGACUUCCCUCCUUGGCUCCGUCUCCCGGGAACCAGGGCCAAGAUAAACACGUUGUAUCUGAAAGAACCCAAACACGCUGUAUUUGAAAACACCCAUGUUAAUGGAUCAUGGAAACCCAAACAACAAAUUAAAGACGACAAGAGGAUUUGA